rnacentral:rRNA from 1 species
UACGAAUGGGGCAAGCGUUGUUCGGAAUCACUGGGCUUAAAGCGUGCGUAGGCGGAUCUGCAAGUCAGAAGUGAAAUCCCCGGGCUUAACCCGGGAACUGCUUUUGAAACUGCAAAUCUGGAAUCCGGGAGGGGUUAGGAGAAUUCCUAGUGUAGAGGUGAAAUUCGCAGAUAUUAGGAGGAAUACCAGUGGCGUAGGCGCCUAACUGGACCGGUAUUGACGCUGAGGUACGAAAGCGUGGGUAGCAAAC